GAUGAACGCUAGCGGCAGGCCUAACACAUGCAAGUCGAGGGGUAGAAGGAGCUUGCUCCUUUGAGACCGGCGCACGGGUGCGUAACGCGUAUGCAAUCUACCUUGUACAGGGGAAUAGCCCAGAGAAAUUUGGAUUAAUGCCCCAUAGUAUAUAACCUUCGCAUGUUGGUUAUAUUAAAGUUCCAACGGUACAAGAUGAGCAUGCGUCCCAUUAGUUAGUUGGUAAGGUAACGGCUUACCAAGACGAUGAUGGGUGGGGGUCCUGAGAGGGAGAUCCCCCACACUGGUACUGAGACACGGACCAGACUCCUACGGGAGGCAGCAGUGAGGAAUAUUGGUCAAUGGUCGCAAGACUGAACCAGCCAUGCCGCGUGCAGGAAGACGGUCCUAUGGAUUGUAAACUGCUUUUAUACAGGAAGAAACCCUCCCACGUGUGGGAGCUUGACGGUACUGUAGGAAUAAGGAUCGGCUAACUCCGUG
rnacentral:rRNA from 1 species